ACUUUCUUUGUUUUAAGACACGGAGAAUUAAUCAGGCACCAAAGGCCCCUCAAAAAGCCCCAAAACCAAAACCCGUGCUUUAGAUUCUUUAUUCUCUCUCUUUUGUUCUUCUUUUUUUCUACCUCAAACAACUGAAAUUAUAACUCCUCUGUUUCUUCUUCUUCUUCUUCUUGCUCUCGUCAGAGAAAUGCAAUCCAAGACUGGAUCUCAAGGUCUUCCUCUCUGUGUUUCAGCCUUCACUCUCUCUAAUCAUUCCCUCUCUACUGAGAUGGCAGAUCAUGAUCGAAGGAGGAAAGCCAUGAGAACGAGAAUGCAAAGAUCAAGAAACAUGGAGGAAAACAGGUUGUUUGAAGCGAUUAAAGAGGGAGAUCUUGAGGAUUUCGUCAAUGAAUUCUGUGAAAUCACCUUAAUUUGUGUUGCAAAAGCUGCUUAGAUUAGAAAAAAGGAUCUGGGUUUUGUUGGGUUUGGAUCUUUCUUUUCAUAUAUUUUGUCAAUUCUGAUCUGGGUUUGUUUUUAUGUAUUGUUCUUGUUUGAUCUGAGUUGGGCUUGGGAACUAUUUGGCUCUAAAUGGUUAAAAAUUUGACUUGUUAUGGAUGGAAUGUAGCAAAAUUUCAGGAACUUGUUUGUCAUCUAGUAGAUUUUAAUUGAUGAAGAUGUAAGUUUGUAAGUUGUAACAAACAAAAUAAGACUGUUUUAUUUAUUUAUUAUUAAAAGAUGAAA